rnacentral:lncRNA from 1 species
UAAGGAACUGCUCUCAAUUAUAAAUAAUAAAGAAAACGAUUGCAACCUAAUACAAACACAGUUAAAAGACUUUAUUCUGUUGUGACAAUCAUUGAAGAAGAAAAACAAAAAAUGACUGUACCUGUGCAUUGGGUAGAUGAACUCAAAAAUGUUGUAUAUUGGCCUCCAUAGGACAAGAAACAAAUAAACUACUAUAUUAGUAUUUGGGUUUCACCUGAUAAAGGAUGGAGAGAGUAUAUAUUAUUAAAAAUAAAUCUUGACAAGGGAACAAAGGAGAUGUAUAAUGUUUGCAUGAAGUUUGACUCAGAGUCUUCCGAUUCUGAUUUUCAGGAAACAGAAUAUAAUAGUGCAACAUAUGGAAAUCGUUUUCGCAUUAGAGAAAAAAGUCCUGACAUUACAGUUGAAAAUGUUGUUGAAUCAUCAUUAUUUUUUUCAAGGUUAUUUAUUAAAUCUCCUAGCAAACAUCCUAAGAUAGUAUCUACUCAGAAAUAUCAAGAAGAGAAUGUUUUGAACUUAAACGAAGAUUUAGAUUUUUCAAAUUUCUAUUAAAGCAAUACAGUUCAAUCUAGUUUGUCAUCUGUUUGUCAACAUAAUUCAUUUUUAGAACCAGUUCAAAAAAAUAUUUCAAGAGGCAUUGGUGGUACUUUUUUUUAUGGCAAACCGCCAGCUAGCUUUAAACCGAAAGGCGUUUUAAAUAUGCAUUAUUUAUGGAGCUAGCAAGUAUAAAAUCUGAAAUACAAAAAUCUUUAUGUGCAGUGGAAAAGCUGGGAAGAAGAGCUGAGACCGAAGAUUCCUUAUUUUAUAUUUCUAAAUCAAAUGAUAUAAGAGAGUUUGAUGAAAGAGAAAUAUUUUUAGAUAAUAAAGAAAAGUUUCAUUUGUUGAUCCGUCAACUUAAACAAAUAGGUGGUAGUUCAAUUUCAGCCUCAGUCAAUAAAGUUUUAGAUGAAACAAUGUCUAAAAAUGUUCAAUCGUUAAUUAACAAAGCAGGAAGGCAUGGCAAAAGAUCAUUUAGAAAAACAUUAUUGUAUAAGGCAAUUAUUGGUAAUUUUUAAAUAUUGAUAUAAAAUGUUUUUUGUGGAAGUGUGUUUAUGUAAUCCUCUUUGUAUGUGCUUUAAAAUGCAUGAAAGAUUUCUAUGAUAUUUUAUAUUUUAGAAGCAUUAGUGUCAUAUUCAACAAAAUUUGAUUUGGUCAAUAAGUUAAUAGGCGACCAUUGGAAAAGAGCUCCAGAUCGAAUAGAACAACAAAUAAUUUAUUUAGUAUUUGUA